rnacentral:rRNA from 1 species
ACGCUCGACACCUACGGGAAGCAGCAGUGGGGAAUAUUGCACAAUGGGGGAAACCCUGAUGCAGCGACGCCGCGUGAGUGAAGAAGUAUUUCGGUAUGUAAAGCUCUAUCAGCAGGGAAGAAAAUGACGGUACCUGAGUAAGAAGCCCCGGCUAACUACGUGUCAGCAGCCGCGGUAAUCUGAGCGGGCUGGCAAGGC